rnacentral:rRNA from 1 species
AGCCGUGGCAAUACUGAGUGGCGAACGGGUGAGUAUAAUGUGGGUAUCUGCCUUUUGGUUUGGAAUAACAUGAGGAAACGUGUGCUAAUACCGGAUAAGCCCUUACGGGGAAAGUUUUAACGCCGAAAGAUGAGCCCGCACUUGAUUAGCUAGUUGGUAAGGUAAUGGCUUACCAAGGCUACGAUCAAUAGCUGAUCUGAGAGGAUGAUCAGCCACAUUGGGACUGAGACACGGCCCAGACUCCUACGGGAGGCAGCAGUGGGGAAUCUUGCACAAUGGGGGAAACCCUGAUGCAGCGAUGCCGCGUGAGUGAAGAAGGCCUUUGGGUUGUAAAGCUCUUUCGUCGGGGAAGAAAAUGACUGUACCCGAAUAAGAAGGUCCGGCUAACUUCGUGCCAGCAGCCGCGGUAAUACGAAGGGACCUAGCGUAGUUCGGAAUUACUGGGCUUAAAGAGCACGUAGGUGGUUAAGAAAGUUGGUGGUGAAAUCCCAAGGCUUAACCUUGGAACUGCCACCAAAACUUUUUAACUAGAGUAUGAUUGAGGUAAGCGGAAUUUCUAGUGUAGAGGUGAAAUUCGUAGAUAUUAGAAAGAACACCAAUUGCGAAGGCAGCUUUCUGGAUCAUUACUGACACUGAGGAACGAAUGCAUGGGUAGCGAAGAGGAUUAGAUACCCUCGUAGUCCAUGCCGUAAACGAUGUGUGUUAGACGUUGGGAAUUUAUUUUCAGUGUCGCAGUGAAAACAAUAAACACACCGCCU